rnacentral:rRNA from 1 species
GACGAACCGUGCGAACGUUGUUCGGAAUCACUGGGCUUAAAGGGCGCGUAGGCGGCGCAGCAAGUCCGGGGUGAAAGCCCCCAGCUCAACUGGGGAAGGGCCUCGGAAACUGCUGCGCUCGAGGGAGGUAGGGGCAGGGGGAACUUCUGGUGGAGCGGUGAAAUGCGUAGAUAUCUGGAGGAACACCGGUGGCGAAGGCGGCAUCCUGGACCGGUAUUGACGCUGAGGCGCGAAAGCCAGGGGAGCAAACGGG